UACAGAGGUCUCAAGCGUUGUUCGGAUUCAUUGGGCGUAAAGGGUGCGUAGGUGGCGCCGUAAGUCGGGUGUGAAAUUUCGGAGCUUAACUCCGAAACUGCAUUCGAUACUGCGGUGCUUGAGGACUGGAGAGGAGACUGGAAUUCAUGGUGUAGCAGUGAAAUGCGUAGAUAUCGUGAGGAAGACCAGUAGCGAAGGCGGCUCGCUGGGCCAUUCCUGACGCUGAGACGCGAAAGCUAGGGGAGCGAACAGG
rnacentral:rRNA from 1 species